rnacentral:sRNA from 1 species
GCUGGGCAUGAUGGCUCAUGCCUGUAAUCCCAGCAACUCAGGAGGCUGAGGCAGGAGGGUAGAAAGUUCAAAGCCUGCCUCAG